rnacentral:rRNA from 1 species
UACGUAGGGGGCUAGCGUUGUCCGGAUUUAUUGGGCGUAAAGAGCGUGUAGGCGGCCAGGUAGGUCUGGUGUGAAAACCUCGAGGCUUAACCUUGAGAUGUCAUCGGAAACCAUUUGGCUAGAGUCCGGAAGAGGAAAGUGGAAGUUCCUGGUGUAGCGGUGAAAUGACGCAGAUAUCUGGAGGAACACCGGUGGCGAAGGCGACAUCCUGGACCGGUAUUGACGCUGAGGCGCGAAAAGCCAGGGGAGCAAACGGGG